AGACUGAGGGCGAAACAGCAGGCAGGACUGGGUGGAGACGUUCGGGGACGUGGCAACUGGAGUUUCUUCUCCGUAUAUUUCGGCAUUCAGUUCCUUUUUUUUUUUGUUUUAACUCAGGAAAAAAUCUCAAUUGCGUUUAGUAUUUUGAAAGCCACUUUAUUGCUUCCCGAGCCUCAGUCAUGUGUGGUGGGAGGCUGCUGUGGGUGGCACCUGGGGCGUCCACGGCCGCCAAGGCGGGAGGACGUCAGGCCCUGCUUGCUCCCACCCCUUCCAGGUGAGAGCUCCCGGGCACGCCCGUCGUUGGCUCUUCGUCCUCUUGGUGUUCUUCCCUGUUGCUUCAAAUCAGGUUCCUGUCUCAAAAAUCCGAAAAAGAAAUCCUCCCAAAUGACUCUGUGCCCGACGCUCCGUUAAGGCAUCGUGCUAGGCGUUCUCAAACUCGUGAAAUGACUACACUGCACAGGUUAACCUCAUUGCUACUCUUCCCCUUGCCUCCUAAUUCUCUGGUUAAACUUCCGCCCCCGAGGUUUCUAGAAAUCCCUGAGCUGGAAUGCGCUGCCUUCAUUAAGAGGGUGUUCUGCUUCCGUCUGCUCACAUUCAUCUAGUAAGCCCUCUCGUUAAAGAGGAGGCAGCACACCGAGGCCUGUCUAGAACUUCUUUCAUUUAACCAACAGUGAAUAUCUAAUCUACAAGAAACUGGAGCCGUGGCAGUUUAGGAGCCUGCCAAGGUUGCAUCCCUGGGAGCUUAUUUUCUAUUGUGGGAGACAGGAAAAGAACAAGUGAAUCAACUGUGAAAUUAAAUAAUUCAAACUUAAAGCUGUUGGAACUUUAAAUUAUUCUGAGCCUUGCGAAGAAUGUGGCGAUGGGGCCUGAGUCCCAUGGCAUACAGCUGCAAUGUCUGCCUUGUUUUUUCCUAUAAUCAGGAAGACCAAACAGAGACAGAGGUAAGACCCCCUCAGAUCACUACCCCCUUCAUAAAUUAAUAUAGUUAUCUUCCUUGGAAUGUAGCUAUCUAUAACUAAUCUAAUCGCUGUAAUUUAUGCACUGCUCUUGUAUUGAAAAUGUACUCCUGCUGAACCUUCUCUGUUUCUGCCUGUGUAAAUGAAACCUUAACUUCACUUUGGAACAUUGACCCUAUUUGUUUGGAGUUGGUGUUUCCAGGUGGCUGUCCUCAAGCUUUGCGUUAGAAUAAACUCUAUACUUAAUGAUAUUUUCUGAAUUUCACUACUUAAGGCUGACACAACAAAUGAUUAGCAUAAUGUCAGACUGUGACAGGUGUUAGGAAGAAAACAAAAUGAACCUGAUGGGUGGGAGGUACGGAAGGCCUCUUAGAGAGGUGGUGGUGUUUAAGAUAAACUCUGAAGGACGAGAAGAAACUGUGACGAUCUGAGAAAAGAGCACCCCAGGCAAAAGAAUUUUGCUGGAACAUACCAGUAAGGACAAAAGCUCUGAGGUGGGAAGGCCAGUGUUGCUGCAGAGCAGUGAACAAGGUUGCAGAGCAGAACCUUGUCCAUCGUGGAAAAGCCUGAAUUUUAUUUUUAAAGCAAUGGGAAGCCAUUGCAAAGUUUUAAGCAGGAGAGGGCCAUGUUCUGACUAAAGCUUUUAAUUUUUUUAUUUGAUUUUUUUUAUUUGAUUUUUUUGAGACAGAGUCUCACCCAGUCGCCCAGGCUGGAGUGCAGUAGUGCCACCUCAGUUCACUGCAAACUCUGCCUCCCUCGUUCAAGCGGUUCUUCUGCCUCAGCCUCCCGAGUAGCUGGGAUUACAGGUGCAUGCCACCACACCUGGCUAAUUUUUGUAUUUUUAGUAGAGACGAGGUUUCACCAUUUUGGCCAGGCUGGUCUGUAACUCCUGACCUCAAGUGAUCCGCCCACCUCGGUGUCCCGAAGUGCUGGCACUACAGGCAUGAGCCACUGUGCCUGGCCUUAAAGUUUUUAAAUAAUAAUUCUGGUUGCUGUGUGGAAAAUGGAUUAGAGGGCACCAAGUGUGGAAGUGGAAGGCCACUUAGAAAGCUAUUGCAGUAGAUCCCUGAUUCCUGACUCCUAGACCAAAGCUCCUUUCCCAGGUCUCUGCUGCUUCCUCUCACACAAGGACUCCGCUCCAGAGAAAAUAGAGCGCACACACCAAGAAAGGCCAUGUGGGCACACAGCAAGAUGGUGCCUGUCUGCAAACUAGGAAAAGAGCCCUCACCAGGAACUGAAACAGCUGGCACCUUGAUGUUGGACUUUCCAGCCUCCACAACUGUGAGAGUGAUCAUGGCUGUGCAUUCCUACUGGUAACAGUACAAGUCUUGACCAGGAUUAUUCUGAGGUCCUGGAAGAGAGGAAACCUCUUAAUUAUCCCCAGGAUCAUUCGAUUGACUUCUUUCUUUCAUGGGCACAAUGGACUAAUUCAUUUAGUUUGUGAGGGUGAAGCACUAGUCUGGUUGACCAGUUCUUCCCAACAGGUUUGGACUCUAACUAAAUCAGGGAUAGCCUGCACAGCCUCCUCUAACCAUCUGUUCUUUGGACCACACACAUCUCUACAGAUGUGACUCCUGAAGUCUACUAUGCUUUCAGUUCAUGUGCCCCUGGGCCACAGGUAUCAGGCUGAAACUAUUCACUAAGGUUUCCAGUUCCAGGAACCUUUGUAUUUAGUACCAUAAAAUAGGAGGAGGUUCCAAGAUGGCCAAAUAGGAACAGCUACAGUCUACAGCUCCCAGCAUGAGUGACGCAGAAGACGGGUGAUUUCUGCAUUUCCAACUGAGGUACUGGGUUCAUCUCACUGGGGCUUAUUGGACAGCGGAUGCAGCCCACGGAGUGUGAGCUGAAGCAGGGUGGGGCAUCACCUCACCCGGAAAGCGCAAGGGGUCGCAGAAUUCCCUUUCCUAGCCAAGGGAAGCCGUGACAAGGGAAACCUGGAAAAUCAGGACACUCCCACUCUAAUACUGCACUUUUCCAACAGUCUUAGCAAAUGGCACACCAGGAGAUUAUAUCCCGUGCCUGGCUCAGAGGGUCCCAAACCCACAGAGCCUCGCUCACUGCUAACACGGCAGUCUGAGAUUGAACUGCAAGGCAGCAGCGAGGCUGGGGAAGGGGCAUCUGCCAUUGCUGAGGCUUGAGUAGGUACACAAAGCGGCCAGGAAGGGCCAACUGGGUGGAGCCCACCACAGCUCAAGGAGGCCUGCCUGCCUCUGUAGACUCCACCUGUGGGGGCAGGGCAUAGCUGAACAAAAGGCAGCAGAAACUUCUGCAGACUUAAACGUCCCUGUCUGACAGCUUUGAAGAGAGUAGUGGUUCUCCCAGCAUGGAGUUUGAGAUCUGAGAACAGACAGACUGCCUCCUCAAGUGGGUCCCUGACCCCCAAGUAGCCUAACUGGGAGACACCUCCCAGUAGGGGCCAACUGACACUUAAUACAGCUGGGUGCCCCUCUGAGACAAAGCUUCCAGAGGAAUGAUCAGGCAGCAACAUCUGCCAUUCUGCAAUAUUUGCUGUUCUGCAGCCUCCGCUGCUGAUACCCAGGCAAACAGAGUCUGGAGUGGACCUCCAGCAAACUCCAACAGACCUGCAGUUGAGGGUCCUGACUGUUAGAAAGAAAACUAAUGAACAGAAAGGACAUCCACACCAAAACCCCAUCUGUACGUUACCAUCAUCAAAGACCAAAGGUAGAUAAAACCACAAAGAUAGGGAGAAACCAGAGCAGAAAAGCUGAAAAUUCUAAAAAUCAGAGCACCUCUUCUAUUCCAGAGGAACGUAGCUCCUCAUCAGUAACGGAACAAAGCUGGAUGGAGAAUGACUUUGACGAGUUGAGAGAAGAAGGCUUCAGACGAUCGGUAAUAACUAAUAGCUAAAGGUGGAUGUUUGAACCCAUCACAAAGAAGCUAAAAACCUUGAAAAAAGAUUAGAUGAAUGGCUAACUAGAAUAAACAGUAUAGAGAAGACCUUAAAUGACUUGAUGGAGCUGAAAACCAUGGCAAGAGAACUAUGUGAUGCAUGCACAAGCUUCAGUAGCUGAUUCGAUGAAAUGGAAGAAAGGUAAUCAGUGAUUGAAGAUCAAAUUAAUGAAAUGAAGUGAGAAGAGACGUUUAGAGAAAAAAAGAGUGAAAAGAAAUGAACAAAGCCUCCAAGAAAUAUGGGACUAUGUCAAAAGACCAAAUCUACAUCUGAUUGGUGUACCUGAAAGUGACGGGGAGGAUGGAACCAAGUUGGAAAACAGUCUUCAGGAUAUUAUCCAGGAGAACUUCCCCAACCUACCAAGGCAAGCCAACAUAGAAAUUCAGGAAAUUCAGAGAACGCCACAAAGAUACUCCUCGAGAAGAGCAAUCCCAAGACACAUAAUUGUCAGAUUCACCAAAGUGGAAAUGGAGGAAAAAUGUUAAGGGCAGCCAGAAAGGUCAGGUUACCCAUAAAGGGAAGCCCAUCAAACUAAUAGCUGAUCUCUUGGCAGAAACUCUACAAGCCAGAAGAGAGUGGGGGCCAAUAUUCAACAUUCUUAAAGAAAAGAAUUUUCAACCCAGAAUUUCAUAUCCAGCCAAACUAAGCUUCAUAAGUGAAGGAGAAAUAAAAUCCUUUAUAGACAAACAAAUGCUGAGAGGUUUUGUCACUACCAGGCCUGUCUUACAGAGCUCCCGAAGGAAGCACUAAACAUGAAAAGGAACAACCGGUACCAGCCACUGCAAAAACAUGCCAAAUUGUAAAGACCAUCAAUGCUAGGAAGAAACUGCAUCAACUAAUGAACAAAAUAACCAGCUAACGUCAUGACAGGAUCAAAUUCACACAUAACAAUAUUAACCUUAAAUGUAAAUGGGCUAAAUGCUCCAAUUAAAAGACACAGACUGGCAACUUGGAUAAAGAGUCAAGACCCAUCAGUGUGCUGUAUUCAGGAAACCCAUCUCACAUGCAAAGACACACAUAGGCUCAAAAUAAAGGGAUGGAGGAAGACCUACCAAGCAAAUGGAAAACAAGAAAAAGGCAGGGGUUGCAAUCCUAGUCUUCGAUAAAACAGACUUUAAACCAACAAAGAUCAAAAGAGACAAAGAAGGCCAUUACAUAAUGGUAAAGGGAUCAAGUCAACAAGAACUAACUAUCCUAAAUAUAUAUGCACCCAAUACAGAAGCAUCCAGAUUCAUAAAGCAAGUCCUUAGAGACCUACAAAGAGACUUAGACUCACAUACAAUAAUGAUGGGAGACUUUAACACCCCACUGUCAACAUUAGACAGAUCAACGAGACAGAAAGUUAACAAGGAUAUCCAGGAAUUGAACUCAUCUCUGCACCAAGCAGACCUAAUAGAUAUCUGCAGAACUCUCCACCCCAAAUCGACAGAAUAUACAUUCUUCUCAGCACCACAUUGCACUUAUUCCAAAAUUGACCACAUAGUUGGAAGUAAACCAUUCCUCAGCAAAUGUAAAAGAACAGAAAUUAUAACAAACUGUCCCUCAGACCACAGUGCAGUCAAACUAGAACUCAGAAUUUAAAAACUCACUCAAAACCGCUCAACUACAUGGAAACUGAACAACCUGCUCCUGAAUGACUAUUGGGUACAUAACGAAAUGAAGGCAGAGAUAAAGAUGUUCUCUGAAACCAAUGGGAACAAAGACACAAUAUACCAGAAUCUCUGGCACACAUUUAAAGCAGUGUGUAGAGGGAAAUUUAUAGCACUAAAUGCCCACAAGAGAAAGCAGGAAAGAUCUAAAAUUGACACCCUAACAUCACAAUUAAAAUAACUAGAGAAGCAAGAGCAAACACAUUCAAAAGCUAGCAGAAGGCAAGAAAUAACUAAGAUCAGAGCGGAACUGAAAGAGAUAGAGAUACGAAAGACCCUUCAAAAAAAUCAGUGAAUCCAGGAGCUGGUUUUUUAAAAAGAUCAAUAAAAUAGAUAGAUAGAUAGACCGCUCAGACUAAUAAAAAAGAACAGAGAAGAAUCAAAUAGAUGCAAUAAAAAAUGAUAAAGGGAAUAUCACAACUGAUCCUACAGAAAUACAAACUACCAUCAGAGAAUACUAUAAACACCUCUAUGAAAAUAAACUAGAAAAUCUAGAAGAAAUGGAUAAAUUCCUCAACACAUAUGCCCUCCCAAGACUAAACCAGGAAGAAGUUGAAUCCCUGAAUAGAGGAAUAACAGACUCUGAAAUUGAGGCAAUAAUUAAUAGCCUACCAACCAAAAAAAGUCCAGGACCAGAUGGAUUCACAGCCGAAUUCUACCAGAGGUACAAAGAGGAGCUGGUACAAUUCCUUCUGAAACUAUUCGAAUCAACAGAAAAAGAGGGAAUCCUCCCUAAUUCAUUUUAUGAGGCCAACAUCAUCCUGAUACCAAAGCCUGGCAGAGACGCAACAAAAAAGCAAAUUUUAGACCAAUAUCCCUGAUGAACAUCGACGCAAAAAUCCUCAAUAAAAUACUGGCAAACCGAAUCCAGCAGCACAUCAAAAAGCUUAUCCACCAUGAUCAAGUUGGCUUCAUCCCUGGGAUGCAAGGCUGGUUCAGCAUACACAAAUCAAUAAACAUAGUCCAUCAUAUAAACAGAACCAAAGACAAAAACCACAUGAUUAUCUCAAUAGACACAGAAAAGGCCUUUGACAAAAUUCAGCAGCCCUUCAUGCUAAAAAUUCUUAAUAAACUAGGUAUUGAUGGGACAUAUCUCAAAAUAAUAGCUAUCUAUGACAAACCCACAGCCAAUAUCAUACUGAAUGGACAAAAACUGGAAGCAUUCCCUUUGAAAACUGGCACAAGACAGGGAUGCCCUCUCUCACCACUCCUAUUCAGCAUAGUGUUGGAAGUUCUGGCCAGGGCAGUCAGGUAAGACAAAGAAAUAAAGGGUAUUAAGUUAGGAAAAGAGAAAGUCAAAUUGUGCCUGUUUGCAGAUGACAUGAUUGUAUAUUUAGAAAACCCCAUCAUCUCAGCCCAAAAUAUCCUUAAGCUGAUAAGCAACUUCAGCAAAGUCUCAGGAUACAAAAUCAAUGUGCAAAAAUCACAAGCAUUCCUAUACACCAAUACCAGACAAACAGAGAGCCAAAUCAUGAGUGAACUUCCCAUUCACAAUUGCUUCAAAGAGAAUAAAAUACCUAGGAAUCCAACUUACAAGGGAUGUGAAGGACCUCUUCAAGGAGAACUACAAACCACUGCUCAAUGAAAUAAAAGAGGACACAAAGAAAUGGAAGGACAUUCCAUGCUCAUGGAUAGGAAGAAUCAAUAUCAUGAAAAUGGCCAUACUGCCCAAGGUAAUUUAUAGAUUCAAUGCCAUCCCCAUCAAGCUACCAAUGACUUUCUUCACAGAAUUGGAAAAAACUACUUUAAAGUUCAUGUGGAAUCAAAAAAGAGCCCUCAGUGCCAACGCAAUCCUAAGCCAAAAGAACAAAGCUGGAAGCAUUACGCUACCGGACUGCAAACUAUACUACAAGGCUACAGUAACCAAAACAGCAUGGUACUGGUACCAAAACAGAGAUAUAGACCAAUGGAACAGAACAGAGCCCUCAGAAAUAAUACCACACAUCUACAACCAUCUGAUCUUUGACAAACCUGACAAAAACAAGAAAUGGGGAAAGGUUUCCCUAUUUAAUAAAUAGUGCUGGGAAAACUGGUUAGCCAUAUGUGGAAAGCUGUAACUGGAUCCCUUCCUUACACCUUAUACAAAAAUUAAUUCAAGAUGGAUUAAAAACUUAAAUGUUAGACCUAAAACCAUAAAAACCCUAGAAGAAAACCUAGGCAAUACCAUUCAGGACAUAGGCAUGGGCAAGGACUUCAUGUCGAAAACACCAAAAGCAAUGACAACAAAAGCCAAAAUUGACAAAUGGGAUCUAAUUAAACUAAAGAGCUUCUGCACAGCAAAAGAAACUACCAUCAGAGUGAACAGGCAACCUACAGAAUGGGAGAAAAUUUUUACAAUCUUCCCAUCUGACAAAGGGCUAAUAUCCAGAAUCUACAAAGAACUUAAAACAAAUUAACAAGAAAAAAAUCAAACAGCCCCAUCAAAAAGUGGGCAAAGGAUAUGAACGGACACUUCUCAAAAGAAGACAUUUAUGCAGUCAACAGACACAUGAAUAAUGCUCAUCAGCACUGGCCAUCAGAGAAAUGCAAAUCAAAACCACAAUGAGAUACCAUCUCACACCAGUUAGAAUGACGAUCAUUAAAAAGUCAGGAAACAAAAGGUGCUGGAGAGGAUGUGGAGAAAUAGGAACACUUUUACACUGCUGGUGGUUCUGUAAACUAGUUCAGCCAUUGUGGAAGACAGUGUGGUGAUUCCUUAAGGAUCUAGAACUAGAAAUACCAUUUGAUCCAGCCAUCCCAUUACUGGGUAUAUACCCAAAGGAUUAUAAAGCAUGCUGCUAUAAAGACACCUGCAUAUGUAUGUUUAUUUCAGCACUAUUCACAAUAGCAAAGCCUUGGAACCAACCCAAAUGUCCAUCAAUGAUAGACUGGAUUAAGAAAAUGUGGCACAUAUACACCAUGGAAUACUAUGCAGCCAUAAAAAAGGAUGAGUUCUUGUCCUUUGUAGGGACAUGGAUGAAGCUGGAAACCAUCAUUCUCAGCAAACUAUCACAAGGACAGAAAACCAAACACUGCAUGUUCUCACUCAUAGGUGGGAAUUGAACAAUGAGAACACUUGGACACAGGGUGGGGAACAUCACACACCGGGGCCUGUGGUGGGGUGGGGAGAGAGAGGAAGGAUAGCAUUAGGAGUUAUACCUAUUGUAAAUGACGAGUUAAUGGGUGCAGCACACCAACAUGGCACAUGUAUACAUAUGUAACAAAUGUGUACGUUGUGCACAUGUACCCUAGAACUUAAAGUAUAAUAAUAAUAAAAAAAGAUAUAUACCAAAAAAAAUAUGAAACAAAGUCUCCUAUGUUGCUUGUUGUAUAAUUGUGCUGCUUUUGGAAGAGAGGAGUAACAUCGAGGGGACUAUAAAUGCCCACUACUUUUCUUGAAUAAUUUUGGUCUUUGUAAAUAUCCUUCAGGAUAUAGUUUAUAUUCUAAGCACACACAGUAGUCUUCCUGAUCCUUAGUGUAUGUGUUCCAGGACCCCUAGUGGAGCCUGAAACCACAGAUAAUACCAAGCCGUGUAUAGACUGUUCCUGUACACAUAUACCUGUGAUAAAUUUUGUUAUAAAUUAGAUGCUGUAAGAGAUUAACAACAAUAACUCACAAUAAAAUAGAACAAUUAUAACAAUACUCUGGUGCACAAUUUAAAACUUAUAAAUUGGCCAGUUCUGGAAUUUCCCAUUUAAUAUUUUCAGACUGCCAUUGACUGAGAGUAACUGAAACUCUCAGUUGGAAAGUGAACCUGUGGAUAAGGGAGGACUACUUUAUGUCUAUUCCAUAAAGCAGUACCUAUGUAGAGUAAUGUAGACAAACAUCUUACCUAAACAUAAUUUUAACAAACUUACCAAUGAAUCAGAGUAUGCCCCUUUGAUGCACAAACCAGUCAUUCGUUUUGAUGACAAGUAUUUUUUUCUUCUUGACUUGCAAAUGACACUUGGUUUCCCCAGAAAAGAUCAGAACUUCACGCAGAGCCACUCUGCCUCACAUGUGUUUGGAAAGCAGAGAAAAGCCCUGUUUGACAAGUUUUACCACAUUACAGCUUCAAGCACUGUCUGUCUCAGCAAAGAAAAGCUCUGGAUGGGAGCCAGGAAGCCCCAGUAUUGAAGCUUCAGACCAGCUCACAUGUUGUUGCACAUGAAGGAUUCCAGUCUGUGGAAGGGAUUAUUAACUGGAGAAAAUAAAUUACAUUCUCUCUGUGGGUCACUGUUUAACAUUCAAGAUGGGGGUUCCAAUGGAUCUAUUGGGAGAUCAGGGUCCCCUCUGUUCUUUGCACAGCAACUGUGAUGUGUUGAGACACACAGACACAUUCCACAUCCAUAAUUCUGGACUGUGAAGCAGCUGUUCCUCCAGUCUCAGGGCUCUUUUUCAGGGUAGGGAAGGAGCCUGAGUGGCCUGCAUGGAGAGGCUGUGUGGAAUGGACAGCUAGCUGCAUUCCUUAGCUGGAAAAGAAUUCUUAAAAAUCAGGGGAAAAAGAUACCAAUAUUUUGUGAAGAACAAUUGUAGAAGGUGUCGCUCUAAAAUUUCUCUUUACUAUACUUUUAAGUGAUUUUAAAAGGCUGUCAUAAAUGAGGAGUUAUUGUUUAAUGGGUACGGAGUUUCAGUUUUGGGAAAUGAAAAAAAAGCUCUGGAGAUGGAUGGUGGUGAUGGUUACACAAUGAUGUGAAUAGACUCAGUGCCACUGAAUUAGACACUUAAAAUGGUUAAAGUAUGUUAUGUGCAUUUUACCACCAAUUUUUUAAAAAGCUUGUCACAGAAGCCUUCUCUGUGUAAGUAGAAUCUGGCAAUGUCAGAAACUAACAUAAUUAAAAAAUAAGCGGGGAGGAGCCAAGAUGGCCGAAUAGGAACAGCUCUGGUCUACAGCUCCCAGCGUGAGCGAGGCAGAAGACGGGUGAUUUCUGCAUUUCCAUCUGAGGUACCGGGUGCAUCUCACUAGGGAGUGCCAGACAGUGGGGGCAGGCCAGUGGGUGUGCGCACCAUGCGCGAGCUGAAGCAGGGCGGGGCAUUGCCUCACCUGGGAAGCACAAGGGGUCAGGGAGUUCCCUUUCCAAGUCAAAGAAAGGGGUGAAGGACACACCUGGAAAAUCGGGUCACUCCCACCCGAAUAUUGCUCUUUUCAGACCGGCUUAAAAAACGGCGCACCACGAGACUAUAUCCCACACCUGGCUCGGAGGGUCCUACGCCCACGGAAUCUCGCUGAUUGCUAGCACAGCAGUCUGAGAUCAAACUGCAAGGCGCCAGCGAGGCUGGGGGAGGGGCGCCCGCCAUUGCCCAGGCUUGCUUAGGUAAACAAAGCAGCCGGGAAGCUCGAACUGGGUGGAGCCCACCACAGCUCAAGGAGGCCUGCCUGCCUCUGUAGGCUCCA
rnacentral:lncRNA from 1 species